UGAUGAUGAUAAGGACAAUAUCAAAGCAUAGACUUAAAUCUUUCCCAAGUUUGGUACAUAUUCUCUCCAUUUUUCUACCUAAAACUAAGAAUUUCACUUCUCAACAA
rfam:Capsicum annuum cultivar Zunla-1 chromosome 6, whole genome shotgun sequence